rnacentral:rRNA from 1 species
GAUGAACGCUGGCGGCGUGCCUAAUACAUGCAAGUCGAGCGAAUGGAUUGAGAGCUUGCUCUUAUGAAGUUAGCGGCGGACGGGUGAGUAACACGUGGGUAACCUGCCCAUAAGACUGGGAUAACUCCGGGAAACCGGGGCUAAUACCGGAUAUCAUUUUGAACCGCAUGGUUCGAAAUUGAAAGGCGGCUUCGGCUGUCACUUAUGGAUGGACCCGCGUCGCAUUAGCUAGUUGGUGAGGUAACGGCUCACCAAGGCAACGAUGCGUAGCCGACCUGAGAGGGUGAUCGGCCACACUGGGACUGAGACACGGCCCGGACUCCUACGGGAGGCAGCAGUAGGGAAUCUUCCGCAAUGGACGAAAGUCUGACGGAGCAACGCCGCGUGAGUGAUGAAGGCUUUCGGGUCGUAAAACUCUGUUGUUAGGGAAGAACAAGUGCUAGUUGAAUAAGCUGGCACCUUGACGGUACCUAACCAGAAAGCCACGGCUAACUACGUGCCAGCAGCCGCAGUAA